AUUAUUUUGGCAGAUUAGUGCAAUGGAUUUAGAAUCUUUAUAUGUAAUUUAUUUUACAGAUAAUACUUGUUAGU
rnacentral:tRNA from 1 species